rnacentral:rRNA from 1 species
CCUACGGGAGGCAGCAGUGGGGGAUAUUGCACAAUGGGGGGAACCCUGAUGCAGCGAUGCCGCGUGGGUGAAGAAGCGCCUCGGCGCGUAAAGCCCUGUCAGCAGGGAAGAAAAUGACGGUACCUGAAGAAGAAGCCCCGGCUAACUACGUGCCAGCAGCCGCGGUAAUACGUAGGGGGCAAGCGUUAUCCGGAUUUACUGGGUGUAAAGGGGGCGCAGACGGCGAGGCAAGCCAGGGGUGAAAGCCCGGGUCCCAACCCCGGGACUGCUUUUGGAACUGCCAGGCUGGAGUGCCGGAGAGGCAG